UUUGCUAUGCAAUGCAGCAGAAUCUUUAUUAAAAAUUGUUUGUAUAGCUACAAACACUUCCAAAUAAAAUUGUUAUACCUCUGGGGUGUGACCUGCAUAGCAUUUUAGUUCCAUUUCCUUUACAUCUGAUAUGUAUUGUAUCAGAGCACUUGAAUGCUACACCUUAAUGAUCAAAUACUUACUACAUACAGGAGUUCACAGAAUAAUACAGUACUGUUUUCCAGGCAGCAGUGAGGUACUGCUUAACACCAGACUCAGAAGGGAAACUUCUGCAGCUUCCUUAGCUGAUAAAAGAAUUGGUUUUGGUUUAAAACUGUUCUUUCAUGAGAUCUGAUAACAGCACUGGUUAUCAGGAACAGAAUGUUUUAAGAAAGUAAAAAAAAAACCCAACAAAACAAACACCAAAACAAAACACCCUAAUCAAAAGUAAUAUAUUAACACUGACCAAUGAUAUUUUGUACCAGCAAAGGACAACAGGACACAGAGAAUGCUCUCACUGUGUUCUUCAACUAUAUAAUCACAGGAAUAAGUUUGCGUGUCAGCUGUCAGUUCCUAAGUAAAAUGGGUAUUUCCAAACAUUCUAGUUUUGCUAUUCUCAACAUUCUUGUCCUGUUUUCCUAAUUAAAACCUCACGCACUAAAAUACUUCAUCGCAUUCUCUUCCUGUGUUUUUGAGUUGUUUACGGGGGUUUGUUUGUUUUCUGUUUGGGUUGGUUGGGGUUUUUUUGUAUUAAUUUGCUGUCUGUUAAGUUUCUGUCUUUAGGAAGUAAAUAAAUGCAUUAACAGUUACAUAGGUACCUAUCAUCUGCCAUCUCACUUAACAGGUAAGAAAGCUAGGAUCACCUUUAGGGGUGGAGAAACUGAGGCAAAGAAAGGACUGACAUUCUUGUCACUGAUCUGUGUGCCACUGGUGAAAACCAGGAUUCUGUAUUUCUCGAACUUAAAAUUCUGCCAUAUAUUCUUUCUAAAUGAAAUUACCCUUAAUUAUUACUUAAUGCUUAUUCCUAAACCUUAUUCACAUUGUUAAGUAAGUACUACAGACCCUUUUUACCAAGAUACUAAUUCGUUCUUUUAACUAGAAUAAUAGCUCUUCAAAAUACUCUCAUACUUUCAAGUCAGUUUAUAUUAAAGUGCUUAGUCAUUAAUUAUUUUUAGUCACCUGAAUUCAGAAGUUACAUAAAUUCCUUUGGAGAAGUAGUUCCCAAAUACGAGCAGCUUAUGUCCAUAAAGGCCAGAUCUCUGUUUUUGCUGCAAUCAUCAAGAAUUUCACUUCCUAUUUUCAAGACUUGACUGCUGAAGCGUAGAACUGACUAGUGCAAAUGCUUAGGCACAAGUUUGAUUGAGAUGCAUACAUUCUUUUCUGUGCAGAGGCAAUACAAUGGCAUAUCACUUAAUCCACCAGUAGGCAUUCCAGAAAGCCUUAAGAAGGAGCAUGUCUGUGAAACAUUUGGCAAAAGAACAAAACAAAGGAUUCCAUAUCCUGUUUUACAGCAUAGUGCAAUCAAAAACAAUUGUCCAACAUGUUUUUGUAGAGUAUACUUAAAACCAACAGAGCUUAAGCAUUAGUUCUGUUGAUACUUGGCGCACCUCCACAAUUCUACUUCAGGUAAUGUAAGGCUUGAGCAGUAUACCACCCAGCAACAAUAGCUAGUAUGUUGCUUCAUCCAUGUUGUCAUCACUGCCAGCACCAAAGUCGUCUCC
ensembl:lncRNA